CGAAGCUCACUCGGUAGAGCGACAGAUUGCAACUCUGUAGGCGCGGGUUCAACUCCCGCCGCAACAACACCA
rnacentral:tRNA from 1 species